GGAUCUCUUGGUUCUGGCAUCGAUGAAGAACGCAGCAAAAUGCGAUAAGUAGUGUGAAUUGCAGAAUUCAGUGAAUCAUCGAAUCUUUGAACGCACCUUGCGCCUUUUGGUAUUCCAUGGGGCAUGCCUGUUCGAGCGUCAUUUGUACCCUCAAGCUAUGCUUGGUGUUGGGUGUUUGUCCUAUCCAUUGCGACUGGACUCGCCUUAAAGAUAUUGGCAGCCGGCAUUUUGGCCUUGGAGCGCAGCACAAUUUGCGAGUCCAAGCCGGAAUACUGACGUCCAGAUAAGCUUUUUACCACGUCUGACCUCGGAUCAGGUAGGGAUACCCGCUGAACUUAAGCAUAUCAAUAAGCGGAGGA
rnacentral:rRNA from 1 species